rnacentral:rRNA from 1 species
AAGGGGCAGUAAGGCAUGGGUACCUACCCGGGGGUUCGGGAUAGCCAUCAGAGAUGGUGGGUAAUACCGGAUGAUCUCGUGAGAGCAAAGAUUCAUCGCCCCCGGAGGGGCCCAUGUGAUAUUAGCUAGUUGGUGGGGUAACGGCCCACCAAGGCGAAGAUGUCUAGCGGGUAUGAGAGUACGACCCGCGCCACUCGCACUGAGACACUGGCGAGACACCUACGGGUGGCUGCAGUCGAGGACCUUCGGCAAUGGGCGCAAGCCUGACCGAGCGACGCCGCGUGUGCGACGAAGGCCUUCGGGUUGUAAAGCACUGUCGAGGGGGAGAAAAGCCGAAAGGUUUGAUCCAUCCCUGGAGGAAGCACGGACUAAGUUCGUGCCAGCAGCCGCGGUAAGACGAACCGUGCGAACGUUGUUCGGAAUCACUGGGCUUAAAGGGCGCGUAGGCGGGCUGCCAAGUCUGGGGUGAAAUCCCGCGGCUCAACCGUGGAACUGCCUCAGAUACUGGCGGCCUCGAGGGGGAUAGGGGCGAGCGGAACUAAUGGUGGAGCGGUGAAAUGCGUUGA